rnacentral:rRNA from 1 species
CGUAGUUGGGAGUCUGCCAGGUGCCGCCUGUCCGCCCCAGUGGUGAGUACGUGGCGCGCAUUUGGCCCUUUCAAGGGGAGCGUAUUGCACUUAACUGUGUGGUGCGGGAUCCUUGACUUUUACUUUGAGGAAAUAAGAGUGUUCCAAGCAGGCUCUCGUCGUGCAUAGCUCAGCAUGGAAUAAUAGCAUUGGAUCUCGAUUCCAAACUGUUGGUUGUAGGAAACGAGAUAAUGAUGAAGAGGGAUAGUUGGGGGCAUUCGUAUUUAACUGUCAGAGGUGAAAUUCUUGGAUUUGUUAAAGACGAACUACUGCGAAAGCAUCUGCCAUGGAUGUUUUCAUUGAUCAAGAACGAAAGUUAGGGGAUCGAAGACGAUCAGAUACCGUCCUAGUCUUAACUAUAAACCAUGC